GAUGGAUUCCUCUCCUAGCAAACAGCCCAAAAUUGAAUGCAUCAUACCAAGAUAUAUGAAUGGAAAAUUUUAUACGUUUCAGAGAGUUAUGAUGGAUAUGUUAACCUUUAGAUCACAUAUCAAGCAUGAAAAAAAAGUAUAAAAUCCAGUAUUUAAAAAAGGAAUUGUUUUAUGCUAGUCAUGUUACCUUAUGAAUAUGACCUACAAUUUAUUAUAUACUGGCCACCUAAAUAACAUUUCUUCAGGUUGUAUUAGUACUAAAAAAUUUU
rnacentral:misc_RNA from 1 species